rnacentral:misc_RNA from 1 species
AAGACUAUAGACCUGCGGAGUACCUGCGGAGGGAUCAUUAGUGAACGCCCUCACGGGCUUAUAACUAUUCCAAACCUCUGUGAACCGUGCCCUUCGGGGCUAUUUUACAAACAUGGUGUAAUGAACGUCAUAUAUCAUAACAAAGCAAAACUUUCAACAACGGAUCUCU